rnacentral:rRNA from 1 species
GACGAACGCUGGCGGCGUGCCUAAUACAUGCAAGUAGAACGCAGUUGCGAACGUGUUAUUAACGCGUAGGUAACUGCCAGGUAGCGGGCGAUAACUAUUGGAAACGAUAGCUAAUACCGCAUACUACCAGAUGGACCUGCGUUGUAUUAGAUAGUUGGUUAGGUAACGGCUCACCAAGUCACCGAUACAUAGCCGACGUGAAGGGGUGAACGGCCACACUGGAGAGGUGACACGGCCCAGAAUCCUACGGGAGGCAGCAGUAGGGACUCUUCGGCAAUGGGGGGAACCCUGACCGAGAAACGACGCGGGAGUGAAGAAGGUUUUCGGAUUGUAAAGCGCUGUUGUAAAGGAAGCGGUACUUAACCAGAAAGGGACGGCUAACUACGUGCCAGCAGCCGCGGUAAUAC